UGGUUCCGGCAUCGAUGAAGAACGCAGCGAAAUGCGAUAAGUAAUGUGAAUUGCAGAAUUCCGUGAAUCAUCGAAUCUUUGAACGCACAUUGCGCCCCCUGGCAUUCCGGGGGGCAUGCCUGUCCGAGCGUCAUUUCUGCCCUCAAGCGCGGCUUGUGUGUUGGGUGCGGUCCCCCCGGGGACCUGCCCGAAAGGCAGCGGCGACGUCCGUUGGGUCCUCGAGCGUAUGGGGCUUUGUCACUCGCUCGGGACGGACCCGCGGGGGUUGGUCACCACCACAAUUUUACCACGGUUGACCUCGGAUCAGGUAGGAGUUACCCGCUGA
rnacentral:misc_RNA from 1 species